AUUGAACGCUGGCGGCAGGCCUAACACAUGCAAGUCGAGCGGAUGAAGGGAGCUUGCUCCUGGAUUCAGCGGCGGACGGGUGAGUAAAGCCUAGGAAUCUGCCUGGUAGUGGGGGAUAACGUCCGGAAACGGGCGCUAAUACCGCAUACGUCCUGAGGGAGAAAGUGGGGGAUCUUCGGACCUCACGCUAUCAGAUGAGCCUAGGUCGGAUUAGCUAGUUGGUGGGGUAAAGGCCUACCAAGGCGACGAUCCGUAACUGGUCUGAGAGGAUGAUCAGUCACACUGGAACUGAGACACGGUCCAGACUCCUACGGGAGGCAGCAGUGGGGAAUAUUGGACAAUGGGCGAAAGCCUGAUCCAGCCAUGCCGCGUGUGUGAAGAAGGUCUUCGGAUUGUAAAGCACUUUAAGUUGGGAGGAAGGGCAGUAAGUUAAUACCUUGCUGUUUUGACGUUACCAACUGAAUAAGCACCGGCUAACUUCGUG
rnacentral:rRNA from 1 species